UACGUAGGGUGCGAGCGUUAAUCGGAAUUACUGGGCGUAAAGCGUGCGCAGGCGGUCUGUUAAGACCGAUGUGAAAUCCCCGGGCUUAACCUGGGAAUGGCGAUGGAGACUGCAAGGCUAGAGUUUGGCAGAGGGGGGUAGAAUUCCACGUGUAGCAGUGAAAUGCGUAGAGAUGUGGAGGAACACCGAUGGCGAAGGCAGCCCCCUGGGUCAAAACUGACGCUCAUGCACGAAAGCGUGGGGAGCAAACAGG
rnacentral:rRNA from 1 species